AUUGAACGCUGGCGGCAGGCUUAACACAUGCAAGUCGAGCGAGCGGCGGACGGGUGAGUAAUGUCUGGGAAACUGCCUGAUGGAGGGGGAUAACUACUGGAAACGGUAGCUAAUACCGCAUACCAUCAGAUGUGCCCAGAUGGGAUUAGCUAGUAGGUGGGGUAAUGGCUCACCUAGGCGACGAUCCCUAGCUGGUCUGAGAGGAUGACCAGCAACACGGGACCUGAGACGCGGUCCAGACUCCUACGUGAGGCAGCAGUGGGUAUUCUUGCACAAUGGGCGCAAGCCUGAUGCAGCUAUGCCGCGUGUGUGAAGAAGGCCUUCGGGUUUUAAAGCACUUUCAGCGAGGAGGCGUUACUCGCAGAAGAAGCACCGGCUAACUCCGUGCCAGCCGCCGCGGUAAUAC
rnacentral:rRNA from 1 species